UGAUUAUGAUCAAGAGUUAGUUAUGAUUAAGUAUUUAUACUUCCAUUUAAUCACAUCCUUAAUCAUGAAUUAGCAAAAUGCAAUGUGAUUAGCAAAAUGUGACUUUACUAAGCAAGGGCAAAUAUGUCUUUUCACACAGGCCCUGUGACAGCUGUAUGACAGCUCACACACUCUCCAAAUAUCAGUUAUGAUGAGUUGGCAUUGGUCUCAUGGUCAUUGGACUUGUAAUUCUCAUUUUCACCA
rnacentral:lncRNA from 1 species